ensembl:lncRNA
CUCCCAGUGCAGCUCCUAUCUUAAAUGAAGUGUCCGGCUUUUCGCUGCUCCGGCGCCCAGGAACGAGAAUCACCAAGCCGGACACUUCACCCAGGAAACAUGGAGACCACAGCCAAAGAGCUGAGGUCUGGCUCCCGGUCACCAUCGAAUAUAUAGUGAACUACACCCUGAUGGUGACGCUCACUUACUGAGAUAGGAGCUAGACUGGGAUUUUGCUCGAUUACAAUAAAAAGUGACUGUGCUUCAUUAUCAUUUCUUUUAUUAUUAUUAUUAUUUUUUUGCUUUAAAUAACCGCCAAGAUCCUAAGCCAAUCUAAGCUAAACUAAGCUAAUUGCUACAGCCACAAUGGUGCUGCUUCUGCUAGUGAGCACGGGUGCCUACGGAUCACGUGCACGCUACUGUCUUCACUCCCGUUGGUAGUCGCUGCACCAAGACGCUCCUAAUUUUCAUAAAGUUAAACAUUCCUCAACUUCCAAAGUCGCUGGACAUGCCCACAUCUAGUCGCUGUCGCUCAUGUAGCCAGCUAUCGUUGAAAAGGAAUGGUCUCCGGUCGCUUUGUCGCUGCGAGUCGCUGUACGUGUGAAAGCACCUUGAGCGGUAAAGCUGUAACUUCAAGAUGGAGGGCUUUGUGGUUUCUCAGUAACAUGACAAGCCUCAUUAUUGUCUUGUUAACUUCAGGAGAGCAAAAAAAAAAAAAAAAAAAACUUAGGGUGGUAAAGGGAAUGACCGUUUAUAGCUGCUAUAAUACAAGGAAUAACAGGAAAUGACUUGCUUGGCAGAUGUUCCACAACAACUCCUGGGUGGUCCCCUUAUUUUUGGACCACAUCACAACACACCAUCCAUUCUUUAAUGCUUUUCUCAUAACGGUACGUCCCGUUGUGUUUUAUGUCCUCCAUACUGUACUGUGAGAACCGCUCUGAGUCCACAGCAGACUGAAGUGAGAUACGGUACUGGAUCUGCUACGACGCAGAGCUUCGCUUUUGCUUCUUGAUUAGAUACAGCUAAUCAGUCUGCACUCGUGUCACAGGUCGUUUAGCUGCUCAGCAGCCGAGACUACUCGUUCUGUACCUGGAGGAAAAUGCAGCACGGUCUUGAGAUAAAUUGAAUAAACACAAUCCUGCAGUGUUGCGGCUUCAGCCAGGACCUGAAACAGCCCUAAACAGAACAGAGCUGAAGAGCAGUAAUGAGAAGGGAAAAAAAAAAGAGAUGAGUGUGGGAAAAACAAAGAAAGCUGACUGUUCCAUCACUGAAUCAACAAUUAGAAGCUGAUCAACAGGAUUAACCCUAACUCUGCAAACAACGUCAUAUAAAUGCAAUUCUCCUUUCCUCUGAUUCUUUGAAUCAUGCCGAGUUCAACGGAUACCACGAUGUUCAUUUCCACCAUAGGGGAUUUUCCACCACUUUAUUUUAAAUGUUCAAAAGCAGUUGAUUUUUUCCAUUUCUUUUCCUAUAGAUUUUGUCUAAUAAUCGUGACAUUUCCACCACAGCCUCGUGAGACGAACCGGAACAAAACCCAAAUUCUUGGAUUAUAUACUUGGAUCCAUAAUCAUGGGUGACGUAUUCAGACCAAACUUUGUACCCGAGUGAAGGACCACAACCUAUGGGACUCCAAGAAGUUUCAUCUAAAUUCACCUCUAGGGGGAGCUACAAUUCACAAAUUUGUCAAAUUGACAGUAACCUUUUAUCCAUGAUUCUUCCUGUUUCCCUGGAAGGUGCAGAGUGUUCUUCAUGUAAUGAAUUUGUGAAUACUUCCAAACCGUAAAAACUGCUGUUGUUUUGUUUGUUUUUUUAAACUUCCUCUCAUCACAAAAAAAUUGACCAUAGCAUUGAGAAUCCAACCCGAACAAAACGAUGCUUUAACGUGUUGACAAAUCUUGUCACGUAUUUCGCAACAUGACCUAAUGUUAACACACAAGCUUCGAGUUCGUUUGCAACUUCAGAGGGCUACUGAAAACAGGAAGUGGGGUGAUAUCACAGCUGAUGGGUCCACUGGCUUCUGAUCUUUCUCCAUUCCUAAGGGGUGGGUCAAAAAAGUGCUUGGCCCCCUUAAUCGCUAUCGUUUGAUUAACUUUGCUAGUUUAAAUCAUGGGUUUCCCCCUCACGUUUUUAUGCAAUCUAUCUAGAUGAAAAUGUGAAAAUAUUUCAAUAUUUCAAGUGUAAUACAAUUUCUCUGCUCAUAAAUUGGCUUACUAAAUGCAACAGCUAUUAUUUCAAUAAUCGAAAUUUUAGCAAUUUUAACUAUUACCGUGCAACUCGAGUUGGAAUUUCUACAGACAUUUCUAAGCAUCUUUUAUUGUGAAGCUGGAACGUUUAAGGGCAUGAUUAACUUGCACACAUCCUCUAUACGCCAUCAAACCCAUUCCCCAAUUGAUCCUUUCUUCAUUUUAUCUUUAGCAAGGAUCCUGAGGCAAGGCAUAACUACCUGCACACAGCGACCGUCCUCACACUGACACGCAAACAUCCACACUCAUAACCACAGCUGUGCUCAAGCCAGAGAUUCCUUUGUGUACAGACCUCACCCUUUGUGAAAAUCCCUCUCUGAAUUCUGCUGGGUGUUUGUUUUUUGUUUUUUUUUACAGAAAACAGGAUUAAAAAACAGAAUCGAGAGGGCAUGUGUAAGAGCGGGAGAAACCGGGGAAACGUCUGCAUCCUGAGGGCCAUCAAUAACACACUGGAUGUGUGGAACCCAUGGGAAGCUGUUCUUAAAAAGUAGGGCUGAAGUCUGUUCAAACAUGGGUAAUAAUGCCCGUGAACAAUAUUAUGUUUAGUGAAAGUACAGGCUUGCUUACAAGUUAAGCACUGUAAUAUCAUACUAUAAAAUUAUUUUGUUAUAAAUACAAUUGACGUUUGUGUAAUCAUCACUUGCAUACUUCACAGCAUGAGCAGUUUGUCUCUCGAACCGGUCAAUGCGGCAAAAUUUAACCUAGCGAUGCUGGCUAACAGACACCGGGUCACUUCAAGACAAUAUGGUUAAUAUAAUAUAGCAAUGUGUGUCUAAGAGUCUCGUACACCAUUACAGUACACUACACCAUUACAGUAAGGCAGUGAUGGCUUAACGGUUAAGACUCUGGGUUACUGAUCAGAAGGUCGGGGGUUCAAGCCCCAGUACCACCAAGCUGCAACUGUUGGGCCCUUAAGCAAGGCCCUUAACUCUCAACCACUCCAGGGCCGCCGUAUCAUGGCUGACCCUGCGAUCUGACCUCAACUUCCUAAACAACCUGGGAUAUGGGAAGAAAAGAAUUUCACUGUGCAGUAAUGUAUACGUGAAAGGCUUCCUCUUCUUCAGUAUUUAUCGCUACUGAUCCAAUUCGCCUCAUCUCUUUUCUCAUAGGUGCAAUGAGCUCAUCUCUAAACUCGCUGGAGAACCAUUUACUAUUGAACCCGAAAAGCAGCGCGACAGAUGAGAACACAGGCUAAUACUGCUCUGUAGCUCAUCUUUACAUGGCAAAGCUAGAUAAGCAUCAGCCUUUUCAAUUUUAAUCAUCAUUAUCAUCAUCGUUAGUUAAUUUACUGAAUAUAUAUAUUUUUAAAUCCUAACAUUUCAAGCCACGUUGCUAAAUUUAAAAUCUCUCCCAGGGCUACAAGAGGAGUUAUUUUUUGACAACAAUGACUGACAGUGAGCUAAACCGCUUCUACGGGAAAUCUGACUUUAUAGCGUCUGCUUACUCGUUCCCUCAUCAUUAACCAUAAUACGGACGUCUCUUAUAAACAUUAUCUUUAAAUACUAAAUAGAAGAUUUGUUUGGAUGGUAUAAUAAUACUUCA